AAAAAUUCUCAAGGGAUAAAUAAUUAGCCAUGGUAAUUAUUUAGCAUGGCUUAGAUCUCAGAAUAAAAAGGGAAUUUGAGGGAAGGAGUAAAAGCAAAGAAGAUCACACCAACAACAUAAAAGAUAAAAAUGAAUGAACAAAAGCAAUAGAUUUAGAAUGUAGGCAAUAAAGACCCGUUGCAUGAUUUGAAUCUCUGAAUCAGAAAGUCACCACAAUAAAACAGAACUAGUAUUUGAAAUUAUAAUGAGAGAAAAGUCUCUAGAAAGAUGACUUGAGUCAACAUUUUGAAAGUGGGCACUCAUAUCUCAUAAAAUUGAAUUAGAUUUACUAACUUGUAGGCAUUUUUGUCUAUUAGACUUGAAAGUAUAGAUAAUCAUUGAUCUUCCUAGUAAAAAGACAAAGUCACAAAGAAAAAAUAUAAGGAGUAUGUAUAUAGUAACAUGUAAACCAAGUGGUAGUGAGGCAAUAUUGUGAAGAAAUUUAAGAGAAGUUAGGGAUGUCCACGGAUUUAAGUAAAACUACUUUUCAGCAACCUAAGCUUUGGAGACACUCAAUCAAUAAGACAGCUGAUUUUAGGAAGCUUCUAAGCCCUUGUUUCCACCACAGAAACGUUUUUUAAAAAACCAACUAGCAUGGCCAGAAUAACUUUACAGGAGAUCCAUAAAUCAAAGAUCUAAAAAAAUUAAGCAAAUGUCCAAUCAAACAAAAGACUAUAUUUAAAAUAGUAGAAAAUCGUGUGGUAUUUUUGCUUUCUCUCAUCCCACCCACUCCCUAGAACGCUGUAGUUUAAGGAAGCAGAGGUCCUCAGUUAACAUCCUCAAUCCUGAGAGACAACAGAGCAGACCUAAUCUUCAGUGUUAAACUGGCUGUGACUGUUGAGGGAUUGAUUUCUGUGUUGCCUAAUUUGAGAGCUCAGAUAACCAAAAGAUGCAUGGCUUAGAUCUCAGAAUGCUUAAACAUCAGAAAAUAAAUCAUUAUAAUAAACCACAAUAAGAGAAUAAGAAAAAAUUAUACAUUAUCAUCUCAAUUGAUGCAGAAAAAAACAUUUGACAAAAUUCAACAUCCCUUCAGGGAGAAAAAAAACACUCAACGAGCUAGGAAAAGAAAAAAUAAACUACUUCAACAUAAUAAAGGUCAUAUAUGAAACACCCACAAUUAACAUCUUACUCUGUGAUGGCAGACUGAAGCUUUUUCUCAAAGAUUUCAAACAGACAAGGAUGCCCACUAUCAAUGCUUCUAUUCAACAUAAUACUAGAAGUCCUAGAUAGAGUAAUUAGGUAAGAAACAUAAACGGAGGGCAUACAAAUUGUAAAGAAUAACUAAAAUUAUCUCUGUUUGACAGGUGACAUGAUUUAAUAUAUAGAAACCCCAAAAGAUUCCACUACAAAAUAAACAAAAGAGAAAACAACUGUUAGAGCUUAUGAACAAAUUCAGCAGUGUUACAGAAUACAAAAUUAACACUCAAAAAUCAGUUUCAUUUUUAUACACUAACAAUGAAUAAUCCCAUUUACUAUAGCAUCAGAAAGAAUAAAAUACUGAGGAAUAAAUUUAACCAAGGAGGCAAAAGCCUUGUACAAUGAAAAUUACAAACUGUUGUUGAAAAAAUUAAAGGCAUUAAGUGGAAAUAUAUUAUGUAUUCGUAGCUUGAAAGACUAAAUAUUAACAUGCUGAUACAAUUGAAAGUGACUUACAGAGUCAACACGA
rnacentral:lncRNA from 1 species